CCUACGGGGGGCAGCAGUGGGGAAUAUUGCGCAAUGGGCGAAAGCCUGACGCAGCGACGCCGCGUGAGGGAUGAAGGUCUUCGGAUCGUAAACCUCUGUCAGCAGGGAAGAACGGGCACUGUGCUAAUCAGCAGUGAAUUGACGGUACCUGCAAAGGAAGCACCGGCUAACUCCGUGCCAGCAGCCGCGGUAAUACGGAGGGUGCGAGCGUUAAUCGGAAUUACUGGGCGUAAAGCGCUCGUAGGCGGUAUGUCAAGUCAAGGGUGAAAUCCCCGCGCUCAACGUGGGAACUGCCUUUGAAACUGGCAAACUGGAGUGUGUGAGAGGAUAGUGGAAUUCCAGGUGUAGGGGUGAAAUGCGUAGAUAUCUGGAGGAACAUCAGUGGCGAAGGCGACUAUCUGGCACAUAACUGACGCUGAGGAGCGAAAGCGUGGGUAGCAAACAGGAUUAGAUACCCUUGUAGUC
rnacentral:rRNA from 1 species